UACGUAGGGAGCAAGCGUUGUUCGGAUUUACUGGGCGUAAAGGGCGCGUAGGCGGCAAUUCAAGUCAUCUGUGAAAUCUCCGGGCUUAACUCGGAACGGUCAGAUGAUACUGUUUUGCUAGAGUGCGGAAGGGGCAAUCGGAAUUCUCGGUGUAGCGGUGAAAUGCGUAGAUAUCUGGAGGAACACCGGUGGCGAAGGCGGCAUCCUGGACCGGUAUUGACACUGAGGCGCGAAAGCCAGGGGAGCAAACGGG
rnacentral:rRNA from 1 species